rnacentral:rRNA from 1 species
CUACGUGCCAGCAGCCGCGGUAAUACGUAGGGUGCGAGCGUUAAUCGGGAUUACUGGGCGUAAAGCGAGCGCAGACGGUUACUUAAGCAGGAUGUGAAAUCCCCGGGCUCAACCUGGGAACUGCGUUCUGAACUGGGUGACUAGAGUGUGUCAGAGGGAGGUAGAAUUCCACGUGUAGCAGUGAAAUGCGUAGAGAUGUGGAGGAAUACCGAUGGCGAAGGCAGCCUCCUGGGAUAACACUGACGUUCAUGCUCGAAAGCGUGGGUAGCAAACAGGAUUAGAUACCCUGGUAGUCCACGCCCUAAACGAUGUCAAUUAGCUGUUGGGCAACUUGAUUGCUUAGUAGCGUAGCUAACGCGUGAAAUUGACCGCCUGGGGAGUACGGUCGCAAGAUUAAAACUCAAAGGAAUUGACGGGGACCCGCACAAGCGGUGGAUGAUGUGGAUUAAUUCGAUGCAACGCGAAGAACCUUACCUGGUCUUGACAU